rnacentral:tRNA from 1 species
GGUCCUAUAGUUGAGAUUGAACAAUGACAAAUUGCAAGUUUGGUGGCGUGGUUUAGCACUGGGACUU